GCUCCAUUCACUCCCAUUCUUUGAGGACUCACUCGCGGGCGCCCUCUGCUGUUUAGCAGGCCUGUUGUUGUAACGGGGGGAUAUGAAGUGGCCAGGCUCCCCAUAAACCGGCUCUGUUUUAACCCUGUCCAGAAGAGAACUGCACCUGAACUCGUGCUCCGUUCAGCUCUGCUGAGCUCUCUCUGUCCUGCUGCGGGCAGUUGAGUCCAGCAUGAGCUUUUCAAAGGUAACAAACAGCACGAGCUUUCAGCGCGCGCUCACUGCAGAAGCACGAGUCUUCCUGAGAGUGUCUGAGUGGACAUCGCACCAUGAAAAGGCUCAUCAUUGGGAUUGGGGGUAUGACAAAUGGAGGUAAAAGCACGCUGAGCAGGAGCCUUCAGGGAAUUGUCCCAAACAGCUGCAUCCUUUCCCAAGAUUCUUUCUUCAAAGAUGACUCAGUGGUGCCUGUUGACAGCCACGGUUUCAAGCAGUAUGACACAUUGGAUGCCCUACACAUGGACAGGAUGAUGAGCGAGGUCAGAUCCUGGGUGCAGGACCCUCAGAGGUUCAUGCUGUCUCACGGUCUCUCAGUUCAGGAUUCCAGUGUGUUCGCUCUCAUAGUGGAGGGCUUUCUCAUCUUUAAUUAUGGACCCCUGAAUGAGCUUUUUGACAAGAGAUACUUCUUACAGAUACCUUACGAGACAUGUAAGCUGAGGAGAGGCUCGAGGGUCUACAUGCCUCCAGAUCCCAUGGGCUAUUUUGACGGACAUGUCUGGCCGAUGUACCUGAAAAACCGAAAAGAAAUGGAGAACAUGGUGCAGGAUCUGGUGUUUCUAGAUGGAACUCAGAAGAGAGAAGAUUUGCUGGCCGCGGUUUAUAAAGACAUCCAGCAGAUGUUUACAGCUGUGUAGAACUGUGUAGAAGUGAGUUUCAGGUUCUGUGGUGAAGAGUCAAGGAGAAAAUCUGACCAUGGUGUGCACCACAGAGGACACUGACCCAGUAGGUUUAUAUCUACAUCUAAGACGCCCUGAGAAACAUAAAGUAUUUUACUAUGACAUCAGCAGUUGACACCACCCCGCGCCCCCGAGUAGAUGGAAGAGUCGCCAUCCAUUCUUGGCAACUCCAAGAAGCUAACAGCGACUAUAACUAGUCUACGAGUGAACGAGUCGGGCGUCUACUCCUGCGUCUUUGUCCUUUAUGAUGGAAAACGUAGAAAAGGAGAUGAAAGGUGCUCUGCUGUUUGUGAAAGAAUUUCUUUGACAUGGUGGCAACUGAAGUUUGGCGGAGGAGGGAUAAUGAUCUGGGGCUGUUUUUCAUGGUUUGGGUUCCCUAGUUCCAGUGAAAGGUGAUCUUAAUUCUACCACAUCCAAUCACAUUCUUACAGAACUGUCCCCAAACAGGCAGAAACACACAGGGUCUGGAACUGGGACUAACAAUGGAACAAGGACAAGGACAGGGACACUGACUGGAACAGAGAUUAUAGAGACAAAUGAGAGGUUAGCCUAACUAGGCUGGUUCAAGUUAACCUAACUAAAUCAAGAGUAAACAGAACUUGAGAAGGCAGAGUGCUGCCAACUAAACUAUUUAAAAUAAUUGAGCUGUUUGCUGCAGAAGUGUGAAUCACUGAAAAAUAUGAAAGUGACUAUAAUUCAAAUAUAAAGCUAUUUAAACUAAAACCGGUUCAGUAACUACAUUUCAUUUUUUCGAGGUAAUACGUUUGCAUGAUUUCUUUUAAAGUCAACUAAUUUAUGUUUACAGUAGUGAGUGACAAACUCGCUACCUUCAUUUUUGAUGGUCUGGUCUUAUAUCAUCAAUGAGGCUUUAAAGCAUGAUAAAUAUAAUCUAAAUAUAAUAAAAUAAUAAAACUUUGGCCCCGGUUAUUAAAGGGAAGGAAAGAGAACCGUUAGUAUACCCACAAAGAAAACACAGGUCUAUAAACAUACAAAUGGACACAAGACAAGAAAACUAUAUAUACGGGGAACUAUAUAUGGGGAACAGAAACCCAGAAGACUGAGAACAAGGCAGGACUCUGCAGGAGACAUGGGGACGAAGGAGACUAGAGAGGAUGAAGCCUGGACAGCGAAACUGACGAUUUCAACUCAGAUCAUUCUGUGCUCUGACACACGUGCUGCAUGAAGUAACAUCAGUCUUGCGGACGCAGCCUUGAUGAAGACUCUGAGUGUGACUCUCUGCUUUACUGCUGUUCUGUUCAGCCAAUACAGCGUCGCUCUGACAGCAGGCUCUGUGAUGAAGAAUCAAGGAGAAACUCUGACCAUGGUGUGCACCACAGAGGACACUGACCCAAUAGGUUUAUACCUACGUCUAAGAUGCCCUGAGAAACAUGAAGUAUUUUACUAUGACAUCGGCAGUAAAACACUGACAAUCCCCCCUGAGUUCGAGGAAAGAAUUACUGUCAGUGGUGACCCCAAGAAGCUAACAGUAACCAUCACUAGUCUACGAGUGAACGAGUCGGGCGUCUACUCCUGCGUCUUUAACUUUUUUGAUGUAAAACGUGUAGAAAAGGAGACGAAUGGUGCUCUGCUGUUUGUGAAAGGAGUGAAAGAACCGUCUGCCAUGCCAGAGAUGCUGGUGCUGGUGUCCGUACUUCUGGUCUGCACUGUGUUCAUACUGUGUGUGCUGGUGACCGUGGUGUGGAUAAUACCCAAAGUGAAGGCCCUGUGAGCAAGUUGACGAGACGGAUUGUUCCAAGACUCCGGGGCUUCCAGGGUCUCCUCCCUUGUCUAGCAUACUCCAGGACUCCAUUUCCCAUAAUUCCAGUCCUGAUGAUGCCACCAAUUCCUCCAAUCAUGUGCAACUGCCUCAUUCUCAGUCACCUGAUUUCUAAUUCAGUUCACCUGUGCUUGAGUUUGUCUUAAAGCUUAAAUAGUCCCUGGUUUGUUCUGCUCUUUGCGUGGUAUUGCCAAUUUCUUGGACUGAGUGGUUUUCUGGUUGUUUGACUUGUGCCUUUAACUUUUGUCUGCUUUCUGAAUUUCACUCUUUUGGAUUUGCCCUUUUGCUCUGGUAGCAAAUGUUUUGGUUAUUCCUGUUUUUGACCUCUGUUGGUUUUUGGACUACAAUACUGGAUUUGCCCCGAGACUGUGUUUUACUUGAGCUUACGUACUGAUUAAACUCUCUCAUUAAACAGACUUCUAUUUUUAAGAUCCA